UACAGAGGGUGCGAGCGUUAAUCGGAAUUACUGGGCGUAAAGCGUGCGCAGGCGGUUUUGUAAGUCUGUCGUGAAAUCCCCGGGCUUAACCUGGGAAUGGCGAUGGAGACUGCAAGGCUAGAGUUUGGCAGAGGGGGGUAGAAUUCCACGUGUAGCAGUGAAAUGCGUAGAGAUGUGGAGGAACACCGAUGGCGAAGGCAGCCCCCUGGGUCAAAACUGACGCUCAUGCACGAAAGCGUGGGGAGCAAACAGG
rnacentral:rRNA from 1 species